UACGAAUAGGGUUUCCAAACAAAGAAAUUGAUGAUUUCAACGCCAUUACACAACUUUCUGCACUUAAUGUGAAAGUGUGGUAAAGAUAAACGUACUUGGUAAAUGCAUCGAUCUGUACAAUUACAUAUUCCUUACGAUCGCUUUUACCACUAAGCUUGCCUGUUAUGUCUAUGUGGAUAGUAUGCCAUGGAACGUUUAUUUUGGGAAUAGGAUGUAAUUCCAUUUGUACUUUCCCAGAGGAUGAUUUGGAAACUCUGCACGUUAUGCAAUUUUCAACAAAUCUUCGAACGUAUUUGGCCAUGCCCUCAAACCAAUAGUAAUCGUAUACCUUGUCGAGUGUUUUCUCCCAGCCCAGAUGCAUUAUGGAUUCAUGUACUUGGUUAAUAACCGACCAUCUAAAUCCGCGAGGCACUACUGGCAAACACAGCGUCUUGCCAUUUCUUUGUAUCACUCUAUACAAAACUCCACCUCUCAAAUCAUAUGUCUUAGACAGCUCGAAUGGUAAUUCAUCAUCGUUCAACUUGAUACUUCAGUUAAUUCGAUUCGCUUCUCAACGAUCUUUGCAUAUUCAGGGGAAUUUUCCGGAGGAAGUGGAUUUCUGGAAAAGAAAUCAGCAUGGGCCAUACGCUUGCCUUCCCUAUACUGUAUAUCAAAAUCGAAGGACUGCAAAUAAGCCCACCAGCGAUAGACUCUAGGCAACAACUCAAUCUUAUUUCGUGAUGAUUUUAACGAAUUACAGUCAGUGAAUAUUACAAACUUUCUGCCA